UACAGAGGGUGCAAGCGUUAAUCGGAAUUACUGGGCGUAAAGCGCGCGUAGGUGGUUUGUUAAGUCUGAUGUGAAAGCCCUGGGCUCAACCUGGGAACGGCAUUGGAAACUGGCUUACUAGAGUGCGGUAGAGGGGUGUGGAAUUCCCGGUGUAGCAGUGAAAUGCGUAGAUAUCUGGAGGAACACCGGUGGCGAAGGCGGCAUCCUGGACCGGCAUUGACGCUGAGGAGCGAAAGCCAGGGGAGCAAACGGG
rnacentral:rRNA from 1 species